rnacentral:rRNA from 1 species
UACGAAGGGGGCUAGCGUUGUUCGGAAUUACUGGGCGUAAAGCGCACGCAGGCGGAUCGACAAGGCGGGGGUGAAAUCCCGGGGCUCAACCUCGGAACUGCCUUCAAAACUCUCGAUCUUGAGGUCAGGAGAGGCGAGCGGAAUUCCGGGUGUAGAGGUGAAAUUCGUAGAUAUUAGGAGGAACACCGGUGGCGAAGGCGGCUCCCUGGCCUGAUACUGACGCUCAUGUGCGAAAGCGUGGGGAGCAAACAGG